ACAGAGAUGGGUGCACAGUGCAGUCAGUGGGUGGGAGCUGAUGCUGGCUAGAAGACCUGAGUCUUCUGAGAGGCAGCUUGAUUCCUGGAAAAGACUACUGGGCUGGAAGUCAGGAGGCCUGGGGUAGUCUCACCUCUGCCGCUAACAUGCUGCAUGACCAUGGGUCCAGCUCAGCAUCUGGCUUACAGUAGGCACUCAGUGAAUGUUGAUGUGAACAAAUGAACUGAUUCAAAGAAGUGUCUCUUGAAGUUGCUUCUUUCCAAUCUAGCCAACAAAUGCAGUAUUCCAAAUGGAGGUACCAGAGAUCACAUCAUCUUCAGCUUUCUGCCACAGAUCCACAUGAAGAAACACACAUGGUGCAGCUAAAAUCCUUAAUGUUAGAUAGGACUUUGCAUUGGACACUUUAAAAUGUGAUGUCUGGCUUUGAAGAGGGCGUAUAACACAAAUUUACUGUGCAUCAAUCUCACUAAUGGAAAAUAAACAAUAGCCCAUACAUCA